GGAAUUGUACCAAGCUGUUUACAGUACAAACCAGAUCUCAUGGUAUUACCUUUCACAGGUUUCCCAAAGAUAAAGAGCUGAGAAAGAAAUGGGAAACAGCUGUCAGAAGGGAAGGCUUUUCUGCUAGUCCAUCAUCCAUGCUCUGCAGUGAGCAUUUCAGACCGGAGGAUUUUGACAGGACAGGUCAGACAGUCAGGAUCAGAGCUGGAGCUGUUCCUUCAGUCUUCUGUUUCCCAGCUCAUCUCCACAGGCCUGUGGUUACCAGUACGUCUCAGACCUCAAAGAAGGCACAGGAGACCCUGUCACUGGACUGUUCCGAGCUUGUCCAACAGGCCAAGCCCCUGCCCAAU